UUAAGUAUUUUGUGUUCUGUCUUUCUUUAUUUCAGAUGUGGACGAGUGCUCUACUGGGUUGUUACUAUGUGAUUAUAAAUGUAUAAAUACAGAUGGUGGGGCAUACUGCGCGUGUAAAAAGGGAUACGAAAUCAGUGAAAACAACAUCACCUGUACAGAUAUAAAUGAAUGUGAGAUUUCUCAUCUGAAUGAAUGUCUUGAAACAUGCAUCAACACUGUUGGAUCAUACAGAUGUGAUUGUUUCCUUGGACACGCUUUGGUGGGAUAUAACAAAUGUGCACCAUGUCCGGAAAACUUUUACCGGGAUGAAAACAGUGCAGAAUGUGUUGCGUGCCCAUUUAAUUCUAUAACGCAAGGAAAAGGAAGAACACGAAUAGAGGACUGCAAGUGUAUUGAGGGUUACCAUGGCAAUGUCACACUUGGUGAAGACUGUCUGGAACAAUAGUUUUAUUAUUAUCUUUUCUU